rnacentral:antisense_RNA from 1 species
ACUGAGGAAGAAUAUAAGUUAGCCUCAUAGUGACUAUGUGGAAGUCCUAACCUCGCUUGCAGACCUGACCUCUGGAUGUGACAAGGUGAGGUUCUGUGUUCACUGAUACAUCCCCUUCCUUCACCGGGCUCAUGAAAAGAAAUGCUGAAUCAGCGAAUAGAGUGAAGGAACAAUCAAGAUGAGAUGGCUGCUGCUGAUGUGAUUCUCUAGGUCACUACCUUUCUUCCUGCUGCAAAUGCUGCAUGACACUAAGCUUACAGGAUCUAGAAGCAGACUACAAAAAAAGAAGAAAUUCACUCUGAAGACUGAAGAAACACUAGGCUGAUCUUAAGUUUCCGAAAUACACUCUGUAACACUACACUGAUUCUAUGAAUCUCUUGCAAAAAGAAUCAAACCAGGACAGAGUUCAACAGAUAACUGGUCAAAUGUUUAGGAAUGUCUAUGUCCACCAAGAAUAUGGAACCAUUAAUGCCAUGCUUCAGGUAAACUUGUUACAAAAUUUAGUCUUCGAUAAAUUAGUCUCUGCAAAUGAUUUACCAUUGCUCUACAUUAGUAAGCUGAAUGUUUCACUAACAAAUAAGAAAAUAAAAUAUUUCAUGUUUUUACAGCUAACAACUUAGUAAUACCUACUCAGAGUACAUACUUCUUUAUGUACCCAUAUGAACAUACAAUGCUAUGGAAUGUAAAGAAGUAUGUAUUUUUGGUAGGCAAUAAACCACCAAGAGAGAAUUAAACUGAGCUAAAAGAAGCUCUUGCUUCUUUCUACGUGAAUGACCUUCAUAUGGUAAAUUAACCUAGUCAUGAACAGAUGACCUUUGGCAAUACUAACAGCAAAAAAAAAAAGGUUAUCUACUACUUAUAGAUAUAAACUAUCCCUAAGGUUUUUAUUUCAUGAAGGAAAAGAAGAUCCAGUGAAGUAGAUUUCAAUUAUCAUGAAACUCCUUUUAAAUCAUCUAAGUUUAAAACAUACAUCUUACAUUUUUAAAUUAGGUAUUCUCAUUAUUAAAAUUUGACUGCAAAAGGGAAAAUAGUAUUACUAGCACAAAAGAAUGAAGAAUACACACGACCUAUUUUCUGUCUCCACAAUUUAAUCUUAAGUAUAUCUCAUUAGUAGGGCUCAUUGAUUUGUACAGAAAAAUAAGAUACUAAGAGCUGGCUUCAUUCACGUAAUAAGCUAUUUCUUCUCAUUUUGAUAAAUGUAUAAUCUAUUAAUAUUAGAGGAAUUUCUGACCAAAAGUUUUGUUGUUUUAAAAAGGCUUUCUUUUUUGACAGCUAUAAACAUAGUGGCCCUUGUCCUUCCUUCUCAAGUUUAUCAGGGUCUUAACCCAAAUCUCUACUUUAAAUGUGAAGUUAAAACUUAAAAUUAAUUAAAAUGUAAGAUUUAAGCAUGAAAAAUGACAAAAUUCGGGUCCACAGCUGUAAGUCGGCAGGGUAUAUUGGUAACAGACUACCAAAUAUUUAAAAGAAAUUAAUGUAUUAUCUGUAUUAUCUUUGAAUUUGCUUUCUCCAAAGAGGGCAUGUAAAAUGAAAGCACUAUAGUCAAGAACCAAUUUAUACAUAUUGAAGAACUGUUUUUAUUGUACUAUGCAAUUACAAUUCAAUUUCUCUAAACAUGAUCAAUCCAUUGUUUAGAAAUAUCAAAAUACUUUUAUUUCACGCAGUUUGUAUAUUAUUUAUAAAAAAUUCCAAAUAAUGCUCUUAGCAAAAUUUAUAAGCAGUACCUGUUUUAAGCUACUAAUGACAAAGUCAGAAAAAAAGAAAGAGUAGUAUUCACAUAUUCUAACCAUUUCUUACUAAAAGUAUUAUUUCAACUGAAAUAUUUACACAUGUAUAAAAGCAUAAUAUUUUAAAUUUUUUGUAUCAGAAACUGAAUGGAAAUGACUGUAAGUUUAACUAUAGUUCAUUUUGUUUAAUAAGACUAGUUAAUACAAAGAUGAUUUUCAUUUUAUCAGAUUAUAAAGAAUGAGAAUGACUAUUACACAUGGCAUCAUAUGUGUUACUGCAUGUUUACUGGAAAUUAUGAAAAGCGCAAAAUUUUAAAAUUCUACACUUUCAAAGAAAUUAGUUCAAAGCUUAACUCACAUAAGCAUAGCCCUUCUGAUCAUCCACAAAACAGAAUGGCAAUGAUUCAUGUUCUAUUUGGUAACUUUACCUGUACAGGUCCUAAAUACCAAGAACUCAAAAUAUAUACCUCAAAAGUAGAGGCUCUUCUAUAAAAACACUCAAAGGGUAUUACUCUACUUGUGUUUUAUAAUAAACAGUUAUAUUGGUCAUUCUAUAGGUAUACAAGUUGUUUAACAAUCCUUCUCAAACAUCCCAGCAACUAGGAAUCUCUUUGCUAUAAUAUUAAGACUAUGUAAAUAAUCCUUAGAAAAUAAAAUGACAGGCUAUUCAUUUUUAAAAGUAAAAUUAUAUGCUGAUUCUGGUGCUUGCGAGUUUAACUUAUCUAAGAGUAUUUUCAAUCACUCUAAAAUGUCACAUCUAUCACUUAGAUCAGCUGUUCAUUUUUAACUGAGUACAUAUUAAACUCUGGGCAUCUGCUGACACUGGUAUAACUCAAACAUUUCAACUGUCUCCCUGACAGGGAUAACAGAUGCUGACAUUAUCAAAUGCUGUACUAUUUUUUUCCCAUGGCCUCUCCUUGCCCCGAUAUGGCCAGUAUAUGAAACUGAACUGCCAUCCAAAAGCACACUUGAGCAACUGGAUCUGCUAAACAGCUCCCAUAUAACUAGUAAAAAUAGAAGCCAGUGUUAUUGCUAUCUUCAGCACUUAAGUUCAGGCAGUUUAACACCUGUUUCACUUCUACUAGAAAAAAUGAUGAAAAAGAAUUGUAGUUAAUUUCACCAGCAGUAUGAUACUUACCAACCAACAGACGCAGAAUAUACUUAGUGUGAGAGUAAUUUGCAUACUGCCUGAAUUAGCGUUGACCUCCCAGUUUAGUUUAAAAUAGUAACUGUAAAGAAUAUUUCUCUACUCUAUUUCUCUGAGAGCACUUAACUUUAUAGGCAAAUUAUAAUUUAUCAAACUUUUAUUUUAUGCAAGAAGACACCCCUCUCAAGACAUUGAAAUCAACAGUAAAACCACAUUAUAACAAAAAUUUACCCUGAUUUUUCAAGUAUUAUCCACACGAUAGAUUUUAAUACUUGUAUUCAUGGAUUGUAACUAACCACCUAUUACUAAGGCGAUAAUGAGAAGUAACUAGGCAAUCUGUACCCACAAUGACAAAGAACUUAGUCAAGGAAAUAGACCUUUAAAAGAGUUAAAUUACUAAGCUAUGAUUAGUAACACUAUGUAAGCAAAAACAAAGAAAAACUGGCAUGCAUGGUAGUUCCUUUCAACACAAGUCCAAGCAAUACACUGAAUACACAUGUGAUCUAUUUAUAAAUCAAAGGGCAGAGGUACUUUCUUAAGGCCACUGAUAUUCCUACACCCAUCAACAAUUUGCUAUUAGCCCUCAACUAUAAUGCUAAAAGAAGCAGUGGCAGUAGAAGGGGGUGACUAACAGAACUCUUCCCCAACCUUUUAGCUUAACUACUUAAGUAAUCUGGUUUACUGCCUAGAGAUAAAUGGAAAACAUUACUCUAAAAUACAUCAAGGUCUAUUUGUUCCUUUAAAUACUAUUGGUUUUGAAACAGCUUAUUGUCUACAUGUAAGAAUUAAGCAAAGACUUCGGCUGUGGACAAGAUUAGAAAAAGAAAAAGAAGCAAAGAUGUUGAAAACAAAGACGUACAUUGAUCAUUCCUUAAUGCAGUAAUGUGUUAAAAGGAAAAGACUUUUAAACCAUUAAGCGCAGGAAAACAGUAGGAAAGUGACUUCAAAAUGGAAAAUUUGACAUUCAGUGACUGAAGCAUUGGUAUGAUAAUUUCUAACACUUGUAGAAAGUCCAUGACUGUAAUUUUACCAAUGAAAAGCAUUUAACUGUUUUGGAUUCCAAACUAGCAGCACUACAAUGCUUUGCUAGAGCUGGUAAAAUGGAACCAAAUCGCCUCUUCAAUGGAUUUGGUCCCCUUCAACCAGCUGUAGCUAUGCAUUGAUUACUACGGGACAACCAACGUUUUCAUUUGUGAAUAUCAAUUACUUGUCAACUAAUUUAUACUUAUUUACAUUAUGCAGACUGUGAUUAUAAUCAAAUAACUUGUUACUGUUAAUUCUACCUGGAAAAGCUAGAAUGGUUAAAGAUGUAUAUAAAAAGCUUUAUGAAAAAUGUAUGGAUGAGUUAAGGAUUUCAAAUAAAAAUGUUACUUA